GAUGAAGAACGCAGCGAAAUGCGAUAAGUAAUGUGAAUUGCAGAAUUCAGUGAAUCAUCGAAUCUUUGAACGCACAUUGCGCCCCUUGGUAUUCCGGGGGGCAUGCCUGUUCGUGCGUCAUUAUAACCCCUCAAGCUCAGCUUGGUGUUGGGGCCUGCCGACUGGCAGCCCUUAAAAUCAGUGGCGGCGCCAUCUGGCUCUAAGCGUAGUAAUUUCUCUCGCUAUAGAGUCCCGGUGGAUGCUUGCCAGCAACCCCCAACUUUCUAUGGUUGACCUCGGAUCAGGUAGGGAUACCCGCUGAACUUAAGCAUAUCAAUAAGCGGAGGA
rnacentral:misc_RNA from 1 species